rnacentral:tRNA from 1 species
GUAUUCUUAGCUCAGAUGGAUAGAGCAAUAACCUUCUAAGUUAUUGGUCGCAGGUUCAAAUCCUGCAGAAUACG